UACGGAGGGUGCAAGCGUUGUUCGGAAUUACUGGGCUUAAAGCGCGUGUAGGCGGGACGCCAAGUGUCGUGUGAAAGCCCCGAGCUCAACUCGGGAAUCGCGUGGCAAACUGGCGCUCUUGAGGCAAGUAGAGGUGACUGGAACGACCGGUGGAGCGGUGAAAUGCGUAGAUAUCGGUUGGAACGCCGGAGGCGAAAGCGGGUCACUGGGCUUGUCCUGACGCUAAGACGCGAAAGCGUGGGGAGCAAACAGG
rnacentral:rRNA from 1 species